GACGAACGCUGGCGGCGUGCUUAACACAUGCAAGUCGAGCGGUAAGGCCCUUUCGGGGGUACGACGAGCGGCGAACGGGUGGGUAACACGUGGGUGACCUGCCCUUACGCUCUGGGAGUAAGCCUGGGAAACGUGGGUCUAAUACCGGAUAUGACCAUAUGUCGCAUGGUGUGUGGUGGAAAGCCUGGUUGUUGUGACUGGGUGGCUGGGGAGUGGGCCCGCGGCCUAUCAGCUUGUUGGGUGGGGGG
rnacentral:rRNA from 1 species